GAUGAACGCUGGCGGCGUGCCUAAUACAUGCAAGUCGAGCGAACUGAUUAGAAGCUUGCUUCUAUGACGUUAGCGGCGGACGGGUGAGUAACACGUGGGCAACCUGCCUGUAAGACUGGGAUAACUUCGGGAAACCGAAGCUAAUACCGGAUAGGAUCUUCUCCUUCAUGGGAGAUGAUUGAAAGAUGGUUUCGGCUAUCACUUACAGAUGGGCCCGCGGUGCAUUAGCCAGUUGGUGAGGUAACGGCUCACCAAGGCAACGAUGCAUAGCCGACCUGAAAGGGGGAACGGCCACACUGGGACUGAGACACGGCCCAGGCUCCUACGGAAGGCAGCAGUAGGGAAUCUUCCGCAAUGGACGAAAGUCUGACGGAGCAACGCCGCGUGAGUGAUGAAGGCUUUCGGGUCGUAAAACUCUGUUGUUAGGGAAGAACAAGUACAAGAGUAACUGCUUGUACCUUGACGGUACCUAACCAGAAAGCCACGGCUAACUACGUGCCAGCCGCCGCAGUAAAAC
rnacentral:rRNA from 1 species